rnacentral:rRNA from 1 species
UGGGGAAUAUUGCACAAUGGGCGCAAGCCUGAUGCAGCCAUGCCGCGUGUGUGAAGAAGGCCUUCGGGUUGUAAAGCACUUUCAGCGGGGAGGAAGGCGUUAAGGUUAAUAACCUUGGCGAUUGACGUUACCCGCAGAAGAAGCACCGGCUAACACCGUGCCAGCAGCCGCGGUAAUACGGAGGGUGCAAGCGUUAAUCGGAAUUACUGGGCGUAAAGCGCACGCAGGCGGUCUGUCAAGUCGGAUGUGAAAUCCCCGGGCUCAACCUGGGAACUGCAUUCGAAACUGGCAGGCUAGAGUCUUGGAGAGGGGGGUAGAAUUCCAGGUGUAGCGGUGAAAUGCGUAGAGAUCUGGAGGAAUACCGGUGGCGAAGGCGGCCCCCUGGACAAAGACUGACGCUCAGGUGCGAAAGCGUGGGGAGCAAACAGG